UAUCAGCUGUUCGUUCGAAAUUUUGCCGCCAACUUCAAGCACAUUUACAAAGUAGCAGAUACCACGACAAAGAUUGUGUGGAAAGAAACCAAAAUCCUAUCCUUGGCACAAUUCUCAGAUUACUAAUGUAACCUAAAAGUUCUUGCUUCUGACCAGGACCUGAAAACAUUAAUUUCAUACUACAAUUUUAACAUAGGUCCUUUAAGAUAU